rnacentral:tRNA from 1 species
GCUCACGUGGAGAAAUUGGUAGACUCGCCAUCUUGAGGGGGUGGUGUCGCAAGACGUGCAGGUUCGAAUCCCGUCGUGAGCA